UACGGGGGGAGCAAGCGUUGUUCGGAUUUACUGGGCGUAAAGGGCGCGUAGGCGGUCAGCACAAGUCAAUUGUGAAAUCUCCGAGCUUAACUCGGAAAGGUCAACUGAAACUGUGCGACUAGAGUGCGGAAGGGGGCAACUGGAAUUCUUGGUGUAGCGGUGAAAUGCGUAGAUAUCAAGAGGAACACCUGCGGCGAAGGCGGGUUGCUGGGCCGACACUGACGCUGAAGCGCGAAAGCCAGGGGAGCGAACGGG
rnacentral:rRNA from 1 species